GCCCAAGAGGAAAGGGAGGAGGUUGAGGGUCCAGCAGAGCCUCCAGCUCCACAGGAGUGUUCCAGGCCCAAGACGCCCGAAUGGCUGGUGGCCCUGGAGAGCGGCUACAGGUGCAUGGGCUGCUGCCGGGUCUUCCCCACCUUAGAGGUCCUCAAGCAGCACGUGCAGAAUGGGGCCAGUGAGGGCUUUAGCUGCCGUGCUUUUCAUCUUGCCUAUACUAGGCUGAAGUUGAAAGGAGAAGAAGAUGGAGAAGAAAAUGAGAAGGAAGAGGAAAGAGAUGGAGAUAACACUUAGAUGCCAGAAAGGAAAGCAUUCAUGAUGCCAGAAUGGAAAGCAUUCUGGCAUCAAAGUCUCCAUCCAAAUAAAGAGGUGAUUUUUCAGCCCCUAAAAGAGAGGAAGUAGAGUAGACCAUACUCUACUCAGGGGCCUCUGUCUUCCCUCAACACCCCUAGUGCCCACUGUUAGGUUUAUUUACACCCACCCUGUCCCCACCACUCUCACCGCACCACCAGUAGGAGCAGAGAACCAUUUUCCGUUACAUCCACUGUUCUCCCAAGAUGGAGGAGCAAGAAGGCAGGUCACACCAUGUGGAACAGCAAGACGCUCUUGAACCAACUAAAGAGCAGUGAACACCGAUAUACCAUCUCCACCAUGACAGUUGAUAUAAAAGGCUUACUCGAAGGUGGAAAAACUGCUAGGAGUCAAGUCGCACAAGAGCAACACAGACCCAUUGGCCCAAAGAUGUCAAGCAGCGGUUUCUAGCACCUUCCUAGAGUCCCACUAGAGCCAGAAGAUCUCAUGAGCCCCACAGCCUCAAGUGAGGGCCGGCUGAAGAUGGCUAUACCUGAUCCUUGUGGCUGCUCCCGAGUUAGCCUGGUGAAAUGCGGUGCCCUCGUCUGGAGAAAACACCCACAUUGCCCUGUGAGGGGCCCGAGGAACGCCAGGAACAAUGUGCGUCAGGAGAUCUCUGGGAGGCCCUUCCUCCCCGCCUGCCCACCCAGCCCUCCAGGAGUCAGGUGCCGUGGCAGACAUCUGUAAGGUCGUCUCAUGGAGAAGAGGGAGGCGUCCCCAGAGAGGUGGCAGGACUGUGGAAGCUCAGUUCUCAUCCCUAGAGCUUUCACCAGUGCAACGGAAGAUCGAGGACAACUUGGCAGGGCUCAGGGGAGGAGACUGCUCACUUGACAGAGGCUUUAAAAGGAUAUUCCAGUU